GACGAACCGUGCGAACGUUAUUCGGAAUCACUGGGCUUAAAGCGCGUGUAGGCGGGACGGCACGUCGGUCGCUGAAAGCCCCCGCUCAACCGGGGAACGGGCGCCGAUACGACCGCCCUGGAGGGACGUAGGGGGACCUGGAACUUCCGGUGGAGCGGUGAAAUGCGUUGAGAUCGGAAGGAACGCCCGUGGCGAAAGCGAGGUCCUGGACGUCUGCUGACGCUGAGACGCGAAAGCCAGG
rnacentral:rRNA from 1 species